rnacentral:lncRNA from 1 species
AACAGUCACUCACUCAGUCAGUUACUCAGUCAGUCACUCAGUCACACAGUCACUAACUCAGUCACACAGUCAGUCACACAGUCACUCAGUCACUCACUCAGUCACACAGUCACUCACUCAGUCACUCACUCACUCAGCCAGUCACUCAGUCAGUCACUCAGUCAGUCACACAGUCAGUCACACAGUCACUCACUCAGUCACACAGUCACUCACUCACACAGUCACUCACUCAGUCACACAGUCACUCACGCAGUCACUCACUCAGUCACUCACUCAGUCACACAGUCACUCACUCAGUCACAGUCAGUCACACAGUCACUCACUCAGUCACAGUCAGUCACACAGUCACUCACUCAGUCACUCACUCAGUCACAGUUAGUCACACAGUCACUCACUCAGUCACAUAGUCACUCACACAGUCACUCACACAGUCACAGUCAGUCACACAGUCACUCACUCAGUCACACAGUCACUCACGCAGUCACUCACUCAGUCACAGUCACUCAGCCACUCACUCAGUCACACAGUCACUCACUCAGUCACACAGUCACUCACGCAGUCACUCAGUCACACAGUCACUCACUCAGUCACACAGUCAGUCACACAGUCAGUCACACAGUCACUCAGUCACACAGUCACUCACUCAGUCACACAGUCACUCAGCCACUCACUCAGUCACACAGUCACUCACGCAGUCACUCAGUCACACAGUCACUCACUCAGUCACACAGUCACUCACUCACUCAGUCACACAGUCAGUCACACAGUCACUCACUCAGUCACACAGUCACUCACUCAGUCACACAGUCACUCAGCCACUCACUCAGUCACACAGUCACUCAGUCACACAGUCACUCACUCAGUCACACAGUCACUCACUCACUCAGUCACACAGUCAGUCACACAGUCACUCAGCCACUCACUCAGUCACACAGUCACUCAGCCACUCACUCAGUCACACAGUCACUCACGCAGUCACUCAGUCACACAGUCACUCACUCAGUCACACAGUCACUCACUCACUCAGUCACACAGUCAGUCACACAGUCACUCAGCCACUCACUCAGUCACACAGUCACUCAGCCACUCACUCAGUCACACAGUCACUCAGUCACACAGUCACUCAGCCAAUCAGAUCUUUACAUCCCUGUGGUUGAACUGAUUUAA